AGGGACAAGCGAACCGGUGAGCAUUUUGCUGUCAAGUAUAUUGAAAGAGGCCCCAAGAUCUGCAGAGCAUGUGCAAAGGGAGAUUAUGAACCAUAGAUCUUUGAAGCAUCCAAAUAUAAUAAAAUUCAAAGAGGUCCUGUUAACACCAACACAUCUUGCCAUAGUCAUGGAAUAUGCAGCUGGAGGAGAACUUUUUGAAACAAUAUGCAAUGCUGGUAGAUUUAGUGAAGAUGAGGCAAGGUUUUUCUUUCAACAACU